CGAAGGGGGCAAGCGUUGUUCGGAAUUACUGGGCGUAAAGGGCGCGUAGGCGGCUCUUUUAGUCAGGUGUGAAAGCCCUGGGCUCAACCUGGGAGUGGCACUUGAUACUGGAGGGCUAGAGAGUGGGAGAGGUUGGUGGAAUUCCCAGUGUAGAGGUGAAAUUCGUAGAUAUUGGGAAGAACACCGGUGGCGAAGGCGGCCAACUGGACCAUUUCUGACGCUGAGGCGCGAAAGCGUGGGGAGCAAACAGGAUUAGAUACCCUGGUAGUCCACGCUGUAAACGAUGAGUGCUGGACGUUGCGGAGCUUGCUCUGCGGUGUCGUAGCUAACGCGAUAAGCACUCCGCCUGGGGAGUACGGCCGCAAGGUUG
rnacentral:rRNA from 1 species